GAUGAACGCUGGCGGCGUGCCUAAUACAUGCAAGUCGAGCGAACAGACGAGGAGCUUGCUCCUCUGACAUUAGCGGCGGACGGGUGAGUAACACGUGGAUAACCUACCUAUAAGACUGGGAUAACUUCGGGAAACCGGAGCUAAUACCGGAUAAUAUAUUGAACCGCAUGGUUCAAUAGUGAAAGACGGUUUUGCUGUCACUUAUAGAUGGAUCCGCGCCGCAUUAGCUAGUUGGUAAGGUAACGGCUUACCAAGGCAACGAUGCGUAGCCGACCUGAGAGGGUGAUCGGCCACACUGGAACUGAGACACGGUCCAGACUCCUACGGGAGGCAGCAGUAGGGAAUCUUCCGCAAUGGGCGAAAGCCUGACGGAGCAACGCCGCGUGAGUGAUGAAGGUCUUCGGAUCGUAAAACUCUGUUAUUAGGGAAGAACAAAUGUGUAAGUAACUAUGCACGUCUUGACGGUACCUAAUCAGAAAGCACGGCUAACUACGUG
rnacentral:rRNA from 1 species